AGAACGGGAACCGACUUUCGCGCCAACCGCGCGGCCGCGCUUGCCUUUUCCGGUGGAAGUGACGCCAUCGGCAGCUGCAGCAGAAGAGCGGAAAUGUCAAAAUUGGAGUUUUGGAGGUCAGAAGUCUGAAGUGGAUCUCACUGGGCUUAAAUCAAGAUGUCAGCAGGGCUGAGUUCCUUUCUGGAGGCUCUGCUUCUACAUUUAAAGAACCCUUGUGAGGAUAUUGGCCCACCUGGAUAAUCAAGCAAUACAUUUCUCAAUAAACCAUACCAGCAACAGAUAGAAAAUAAAGUUAAAAUUAUAUCCACAGCAGCACUAUCCUUAAGAGCCCAACUGAAGACUGCAACGAUCAAGAGGAAAGACAAAAUGUGCUGCAUACACAGUGUAGAAUGUGCAACGCUGAGAAUGAAUAAAGGGCAACUAUACACAACGUAGGUGAAUCUCACACAUAGCAUCUCCAGUGAAAGAGGUCAAACACAAAAUUGGCUGUGCCUGGCUGCUCCUGAGAAAACUGGAAGAUGGUGUGCCAUGUCAGAUCACGAGGCCACGAAGUGCACCAGUUUCCGAGACAAUACGAAAAAAGUGUUUCCAGCAGAUGGUCCCCUUGUCACCUGCGUGGAGAGAGCGUCUUCCCUUGAGUACAUUAAGGCUAUCACAGAACAUUUUGGAAAAGACAAGUCGUCAGAAUUUCAGCUCUUUGGCUCUCCUCAUGAGACAGAUCUGCUGUUUACUGAUGCUGCCCAUGGGUUUUUAAUGGUCCCACCUAAGAUGGAUGCCAAGCUGUACCUGGGAUAUGAGUAUUUUUCCGCGACUCAGGAUCCAAAAAGAGUCACUCCAGGAGGGGUUCCACUGCCACCAUUUAACUGAAGAAAAAUUUAGGCUCCUAGAUGAUAAGGACGUGUCUGAGGUCACCUAAGAAGGACAAGACAGACCUUCCACCUGCCAUGUUGACUCCCAACUUCUCCAAGUUUGAAUUUGUAGAGACCUGAUCUACAACCCAGAGAAAAGGCUAUUAUGUCAUGGCUGUGGUUAAGAAAUCAGAUGCUGAUGUCACCUGGAACUCUCUUUGAGGCAAGAAGUCCUGCCACACUGCAGUUGGCACUUCUGCAAGCUGGAACAUCCCCAUGGGCUUAAUAUACAAUCAAACCGGGUCCUGUAAAUGUGAUGAUUUCUUCAGUCACAGUUGUGCCCCUGGGUCUAGUCCGGAUUCCCCUCUCUGUGCUCUGUGUGGUGGCAGGUGCAAUCCUGCCCACACAUGGGCUUACAACAGCCAGGAGAGAUACUACGGCUCCAGUGGGGCUUUCAGGCAAGUAAUGUCUGUGCACCACCUUUAUCUUUGCACCAAGCCAGUACAUUUCUUGUCCUGUCACUUCUUCCAUCAUCCCAGCAUCUGGCUGCUGCAUUUGGAAGGAGCCAGAAUCUAGGAAACAGAACUACUGCAAACUUUGAAUGGCUCCAAUGACUCAAGUCCAGCUCUUCUCUAGGGCACUCUCCUGCAGACCCAGAUGAUUUAGGGCACCUUAGGGCACCUAGGGAGAAGCAAGAAUGAUGGCGGCAGAGUCACAACUCUAGUUCUACUUUUGCCACUUUCUUCUGUGUGACUGUGGACAAGUCAAGAAUCCAUCAGAGCCUUGGUUUAAAAUCACAGGGGGGACACCAGACACCUCACUUCUUACACUUGGCUG